rnacentral:rRNA from 1 species
UCACUUUCAACAACGGAUCUCUUGGCUCUCGCAUCGAUGAAGAACGUAGCGAAGUGCGAUAAGUAGUGUGAAUUGCAGAAUUCCGUGAAUCAUCGAAUUUUUGAACGCAAAUUGCGCUUCCUGGCAUCCCGGCAAGUAUGCCUGUUUGAGGGUCAGUAUUAAUA